UUUCCGUAGGUGAACCUGCGGAAGGAUCAUUAUCUAAUUUCACGGUGUUGGUUGCCGCCGCCGGGGGUAUCCCCCUGGGAGGGAGUGGUAUUACUCGAGCGCACCACAUGCCUUAAUCCUUUUUUUACGAGCUCCUUUCGUUCUCCUUCGGUGGGGCAACUUGCCGUUGUAACUUAUCAAUGCCUUUAGUUUGGAUCGUACAUUACCUGUUCUGGUACAAGCCAUUGUUACAACUUUCAACAAUGGAUCUCUUGGCUCUG
rnacentral:misc_RNA from 1 species